AUAUUAUUUAAAUUAAUGUGCAAAAAUUAAUCUCUCAUUUGACUAAAGACUGAUAUUGAAUGACUCAUGUAUUUAACUUUCACUUUGCUACGUCACCGCCCCACUCUUUUCCGAACGAUACUUCUAUGCGCUUGAGAGCAGACUUGCAUUGACUUCCUAGUAGCACAGUAGAGAACACCAAUAUAAAAUAAUAUUGGAGAGCUUGUUUUAUUGAUUCAAAGCCCAAUUUCCCAUAGGUUAUGGGCCCAGUUAACGUCUUUAAAUUAUUUUGAUAUUAAAAUAAUAUGUGUUAAAUUAAAAGUAAGUUUAAAAAAAAAAAAUCGUAUAAAAGUACCCUCAGUCUAUUAUCAAAAAGUUACUUUUAUUCAUAUCGUUUAUAAUGGAAAAUUUGAAGAUGAAACGAAAUAUCAAACCUUUUAAUGGGGAGAAGUACAGUAUAUGGAAAUUCAGAAUUCGUGCUUUAUUAAGUGAAAUGGAUGUAAUAAAAGUUAUUGACGAAGAACCGGAAUAUCGAUGCAGCGAGUGGGAGAAAAAUAAUCGAAUUGCGAAAAGUAUAAUUGUUGAAUAUUUAUGUGAUUCCUAUCUCUGUUUUGCAAAAGAAGAUACGACGGCUAAGGAAAUUUUAAAUAGUUUAGAUUCACUUUAUGAACGCAAAAGUAUUGCUACGCAAUUAGCCUUAAGAAAAAAAUUAUUGGGAUUAAAGCUACAAGGAUGAAUCAAGAGAAAACAUCGGAUGUAAAAAGAACUAGAACAAUUCAGGCGGUAGAAUUAAAUCAAGUACCCUCAUCAAGUUUUUCUAGUUUUGCUUUUAUGACCGCCGAUUAUAAUAAUUAUGAAGAAAAUAACAAAAUCACAUUUCUAUUGGAUUCUGGUGCAUCGGACCAUAUUAUUAACAGGGAUGAUCUUUUUGUUAAUUUUACAUAUUUAUGUCCACCUCAUAAAAUUUCGAUUGCUAAAAAUGGUGAAUUUAUUUCAGCUACGAAGAAAGGUACUAUGCAGGUUACCAGUAAUAUGAGUAUUUCAGGCAUUUUAGAAGAUGUACUCUAUUGUCGUGAAGUUCCAUACAAUUUACUAUCUGUUUCAAAAAUGCAACAAGCCGGGUUGACAAUUAUUUUCGAUAAUGAUGGUACCCAAAUAUAUAAGGAUGGUCAACAACUAGCUGAUGUUCUAACUAAGCCGUUGCCAGCGAUCAGUUUUCAGCAAAUGAGAACCAAAAUAGGCUU